rnacentral:tRNA from 1 species
CGCAGCGAGGAUGCCAGGGGUUGUGGACCGCGGCACUCAAAAUGCCGGGGUCAGCGGUUCAAGUCCGCUCGCCGCUACCA